UACACAGGCCAAGAACAGAUCAAGUUUCAGUGGUAGCAGCUCCACAAACCAAAUAUUAAGUAGGUGAUUUCCUCUGAGCGUAAAAAAAACCCCAGUGAGACGUUCCCACUUAAUAUGUCCUGUGCUGCAGAGCUGAGCUCUCAUAACCACAUCCACCUCCUUUCAUGCAAUGGAAGAAAUUUAUGUCAAUACUGAACAUCUCAAAUGUGUCAACCCAACACAUUCAACAAAUCACACAGGUCAAAGGAGUUUCUAUUUGGUUAUUAUUUUGUGUCUGAGCCUGCUGAGUGUCUUCCUGUUGGCUCGACUUGUCACUCUUGGUUUCUUCUAUCAUGAUUCAAGGAAACUUCUGUCUGCUAUGAAUAACCGACUUUCCUCAAUGAGUGAGGAGAGAGACCUUCAAAAUGCAAAUGUCUCUGCCAUGAGUGACCAAAUUUCUUCCGUGACUGAGGAGAGAGACCUGCUGCAAGCUGACCUCACGGAAAUGACCAAAGAGUUGGAGAGGCUGAAGAGCUUGUUUA